rnacentral:antisense_RNA from 1 species
CUUCACCGAGCCCAGGAACAGCGGCCGGUCGGAGGGGCGGUCCUGACCGUAGGUGGCCAGCAGCGCCUGCGCCUC